rnacentral:rRNA from 1 species
UUAACUGACGCUAAAGCUCGAAGGUGCGGGUAUCGAACAGGAUUAGAUACCCUGGUAGUCCGCACGGUAAACGAUGGAUGCCCGCUGUAUGCGAUACAUUGUAUGCGGCCAAGCGAAAGCGUUAAGCAUCCCACCUGGGGAGUACGCCGGCAACGGUGAAACUCAAAGGAAUUGACGGGGGCCCGCACAAGCGGAGGAACAUGUGGUUUAAUUCGAUGAUACGCGAGGAACCUUACCCGGGCUUGAACUGCAGGAGAACGAAUCAGAGAUGAUGAGGCCCUUCGGGGCUCCUGUGGAGGUGCUGCAUGGUUGUCGUCAGCUCGUGCCGUGAGGUGUCGGCUUAAGUGCCAUAACGAGCGCAACCCCUCUCGCCAGUUGCCAUCAGGUGAUGCUGGGCACUCUGGGGACACUGCCACCGUAAGGUGUGAGGAAGGUGGGGAUGACGUCAAAUCAGCACGGCCCUUACGUCCGGGGCUACACACGUGUUACAAUGGGCGGUACAGAGCGUCGGCGGCCCGCAAGGUCCGUCCAAUCGUGAAAUCCGCCCUCAGUUCGGAUUGGGGUCUGCAACCCGACCCCAUGAAGCUGGAUUCGCUAGUA